rnacentral:rRNA from 1 species
AGAGUUUGAUUCUGGCUCAGGACGAACGCUGGCGGCGUGCCUAAUACAUGCAAGUAGAACGCUGAAGAGAGGAGCUUGCUCUUCUUGGAUGAGUUGCGAACGGGUGAGUAACGCGUAGGUAACCUGCCUUGUAGCGGGGGAUAACUAUUGGAAACGAUAGCUAAUACCGCAUAACAAUGGAUGACUCAUGUCAUUUAUUUGAAAGGGGCAAAUGCUCCACUACAAGAUGGACCUGCGUUGUAUUAGCUAGUAGGUGAGGUAACGGCUCACCUAGGCGACGAUACAUAGCCGACCUGAGAGGGUGAUCGGCCACACUGGGACUGAGACACGGCCCAGACUCCUACGGGAGGCAGCAGUAGGGAAUCUUCGGCAAUGGGGGCAACCCUGACCGAGCAACGCCGCGUGAGUGAAGAAGGUUUUCGGAUCGUAAAGCUCUGUUGUAAGUCAAGAACGAGUGUGAGAGUGGAAAGUUCACACUGUGACGGUAGCUUACCAGAAAGGGACGGCUAACUACGUGCCAGCAGCCGCGGUAAUACGUAGGUCCCGAGCGUUGUCCGGAUUUAUUGGGCGUAAAGCGAGCGCAGGCGGUUUGAUAAGUCUGAAGUUAAAGGCUGUGGCUCAACCAUAGUUCGCUUUGGAAACUGUCAAACUUGAGUGCAGAAGGGGAGAGUGGAAUUCCAUGUGUAGCGGUG